CAGAGAUAAGGCCUGGCUGUGCGGUCAGGCCCCUCCCGGGCCGCUGGCUCCUUGGGCAAAAAAAGACGAGUCCUUGAGACCCUGGAACCUUGUGUGUCCGGGUCUCGCUUCCCGGGUGGCUGGGGGGAAGCAUUUAAGAGUGGGACCGCGAGAAGCGCUUGUAAACAGACGGCCGGGCUGGGAUGGUCGGCGGCCGGACGGGCUGUCACGGUGAGGCGGGCUUGCCCGAAGCCGCGCCCCGGCCAGGAGUAGCCUGCAGGCCCCGUAGGUGAAGGCAGAGAAACAGCCCGCGGCCAGGAAAUUAAGGAUUGCGCGGCAUUGCUUUGACAAGCACAUCCUGUUGUCUUUUCAGAGAUCUCAAUGAAGAAUAAUCUCAAAGGAACAUUUGUCUCCCCGUACCUCUGCUAAUGGCCAUUAGCCGCUAGCAAAUGCUUUUAAUGACUGAAAAAACAUCAACUACCCUUGGUUUUGGUCUGCUUUAGGCAGUCGAAUGAAGGUUUUUUUCAGUUGUUUCCAGAACUCUAUUGCUGAAGCACCUCUCUUUGUUGGGUGAACGUUCAUGAAGCCCUUUCCUGAAGCAGUGUAGAAGCCUUAGGCCUCUUGGAGUCUAUGACAUGGAAGCCUUGGAAGUGGAUGAUAUCAGCCCAGCCUUGGAAGUUACUGAGGAUUUCUUCAGUACUUUUGACAGUAAGCUAGAAAAGGCUGUGCAGCAAGCUGAGGUUUAUGGGAUUCAGGAAGUCCCCGAAUUGGUGGGGCACGAGGUACUAAGUACCAUAACAGAUAAUGGUGCUAUCAGAAAUGUUGCCUCCCUGGGCAAGGGGGGCCUGAUUUGGGACCACUGUAAGAGCAGGCUCUUAGAAACCAAAGCUCAAAAUGUCUUCCCUGCCAAAGAACAGUUUGUGGUUCAGAAAGGGACAGCCCCAGAUAAUCUUUCCUGGAUGGAACAAAAAGAAGCUUCAACCUUUAACUUUUUCAACAUCUGUCAGCGUCGGAGGGACAGACCUCGAUCCGUGAAUGACUUACUGGAUGAGACCUCUACUUUCAAGCCAGGGCAUGCACGUUCAAGAUCAGAUAUUACCCAAGUGGACUGGAGGCUGGUCCUCAAAACCAUGCCUCUGCAGCGGCAGCAGCAGUCGUCUCUUCAGGGCCCUCAUUUCACCAGGCCGUCCUUUCUGUCGUCCUUGCCGAAUAAGGUAGAAGAUGCUCAAGGAAAUACUGAACACAAGCAAGCAUUCCCAAAUAUUCUGAAGAAGGGGUACCUGGAGAUCAGGAAGGACCAUGACAGUUACUGGCAGAGCUGUUACGCAGAACUCUCACCCUACAACUUAUCCUUCUACAGCCUAGACAGCAGUGGCAAUCAAGCCCUCUAUGCCACCUGCCAGCUUUCACACUUCCAGAGCAUUUCCGUGUUGGGCAACCUUGAGGCCAGGCUGGUGGAUACUGUUCUAUAUGAUAACACUCAGCUCCAGUUAAAGGCAGAGUCACCGUGGGAGGCUUUGGACUGGGGGCAGAAGCUAUGGGAAGUCGUGCACGCCGCGGUGCCUGGUUACGUGGGAAGGCAGGAUGAGCUGGCAAACUCCCCAGGACUUGGUCACCACGCUGACUGUACACAGAACCAUUGUUUACAGAAGAAACCCAGUGAGCUGCUCGCGCCAUCACCUGUCUUGGAGAGCCCCAAACAAUACCAAAACAUCAUCAAAUCAGGGACACUGUACAGGCUAACCGUCCAAAACAACUGGAAGGCAUUUACUUUUGUGCUGAGCAGGGCCUACCUUAUGGCUUUCCAUCCCGGCAAGCUAGACGAGGAUCCCCUGCUAAGCUACAAUGUGGACGUGUGUCUGGCUGUCCAGAUGGACAACCUAGAUGACUGUGACUCUUGCUUUCAAGUCAUUUUCCCCCAAGAUGUCCUCCGCCUCCGUGCAGAGACCCGGCAGAGGGCUGAGGAGUGGAUGGAGGCUCUGAAAACAGCGGCCAAUGUGGCGAGGAGUUCAGAGCAGAACCUGCAGGUCACCCUGAGGAGCAGACCCAAGGAUCAGAUGGGCAGGCAUGAACUCAGGAAGAACAAGCGUCAGUCUGUGACCACCAGCUUCCUCAGCAUUCUGACAACCUUGUCUCUGGAACGAGGACUCACCGCUCAGAGUUUCAAAUGUGCAGGAUGCCAGCGAUCCAUAGGCCUUUCCAACGGGAAAGCCAAGGUGUGCAACUACAGUGGGUGGUAUUACUGCAGCAGCUGCCACGUGGAUGACAGUUUUCUUAUCCCAGCACGCGUAGUCCACAACUGGGACACUUCCAAAUAUAAGGUAUCUAAGCAAGCCAAAGAGUUUCUGGAGUACGUGUACGAAGAGCCCCUGAUCGACAUCCAGCAGGAGAACCCGAUGCUGUACCGCCACGCCGAGCCGCUGGCCACCGUGGUGCGGCUGCGGCAGCGGCUGAAAUCGCUGCGAGCCUAUUUGUUCAGCUGCCGGGCCGCCGUGGCCGAGGAUCUGCGCCGCAGAAUUUUCCCCAGAGAAUACCUCCUUCAACAGAUCCACCUGUAUUCCCUCGCUGAUCUGCAGCAGGAAGUCAUUGCUCCUGAAGAACCGGGCCUUGCCGGAGCUGUUCACCAGUAUUCCCAGCACUUGGAACACCACCUGGCAGAAUGCAGACUCUGCAUGUAAUUCGAUAGAAAAACUGAGCGACCUUCCUGAAAAAGCAAAACAAAUAAGGAUGAUGACUUGGCCUGAUCAGAAGAGAAGUCUAGCAAUAAAGAGGUCUGUAGAGAAAAGGGAGGCAAGUUACAAAUGGGGGGAUCAUGACAGCAAAAAAGAAAAGCAGAAGUGUUCAACUUGGAACACUGGAAGAAGAAACAGCCAAAGCUGAGUGGAGAGGAAGAAGAGGCAAUAACGAUGUUACCAAGAAGCAUGCUAUAGAGACAGAAGAAACAGUUCCUCCCCUGGAAAAUGGACAGGGACUAAAGAAGAUGGAUAUUUUUGAAAUCCAGAUCCUUCUGAAUGAGGCCACCAUCAAGAGUUGGUAGCAGGCUCAGGGUGUUCCAGCAGUUGUGUUAUCUUGAUUUUAUGGCAAGGGAUGCUGGUUUUCCAUUUGUGGUAUUCAUGCAAGGCUUUCAUUUUUAAACAAACUUACUUAAGUAAAUGACUCCAUUUAAAUAAAGCAUUAAGUAAACAACACAGGUGGAAUGCAGCUAUGACAACGUUUGUGAAGGUGUUUUCACACGAUUGAAGUUUGGGAAACAUUGUCCUGAUUCUUCUAUUCUGAAGUGCACUUUAAUGCAAUGUUUUUGGCAAACACUGAGUCAGCUUCCUUGUGUUCUUAUCGAAAAGAUCCCUCCCUCCCUCCCUCCGUGGGGGGGCGGGGGGGGGGGGCUCAUCUGCCACGGAGUUUUCACCAGAGCAUAGAGAAGAGAGAAAAAUAUAUUGUACUGAACUUUUUUUUCCCCACAAUAACCUAUUUUCUUUUGCCUUCCUGAGAGUUUUUACUUUAUUUUUUUUUGUAGUGAACUUUUAAUCACACCUCAUAAUUUUUUUUUCCUGAAAACAUACUAUUUCUGCUUUUUUGGUGUUAAAAUCCCGUUACCUUCUUGUGAAAGGAUAAUGAUAGUCAAGAGAUUUUUGUUUGGUUUCUAAUAUCCUUACUCGGCAAAAGUAAAAAUUAGAAACUUAAAAAAAAUUGUACCAAUCCUGAAAACAUGAAAUUUGGGUGCCAUUGCUCAGUCACUGUUCAUGGUAGGAUUCCUGUUCGUUGCCUAGCAGGCUUGAGUACUUCAGGAAGGGUAAUGUGGAAUCAUGCCAAUCUCUUUCUAAAGUGCAUUCAAGCCUUUUCUUCAGGGAAAUUAUUAAAGCACUCUGCUUGUGAAAUUCUCUUUAUUCUCUAGGUUUCUGGUUUUCCUAUCAGGACUGCAAUGCUAAUUAUUAAUAAAAUCCUUUUUGAAAGUUGAGGUGCCCCUGAAAUAGUUACUGUGAGCAACCAAUCCAUUGAAAUGCUGAUAUUUGUUAAAAUGUUUAUUUCAUUUUUCACUUCCAAAAUGGAAAGUUCAGAGCACAAUUGAGAAAUACUUGGUCAUUGGUUUUUUGUUUGUUUUUCUUUAAUGUUUCUUUAAUGCUGCUGUUGUUUCCAGGACUUAAGAGAAUAGAGAAGCUAAAAAAUCUUGGACAUAUUUAAGAAAAAAAGUCACUUAUUUUUCUUGACUUCAUGCUUUGAUCAAAACAUUAUUUUACAUGAGAUUUCAGAGUUGAUCUAGAAGGAGGCCAUUGGGAGAUGCAGAAAGAUUUGUAAAAGGGAGAGGAGGCCCCAAAUGCCCAAUGUCAAGGAGGCUGGAGUUGGAGGGGUUAAUUUUAAGUCCAAAGCACAGACAAGUAGCAAAGUUCAAAGACUCCUGCAAAAUUUAAGAUGAUUUCUCAGGAUAAGUCAGAGUCAGCCAGGGAAGAUCUGGCCUGUUGAAGGCUGGCAUUGGCCAGCAACCCCGAAGCAACAGGAUCAACGCCACAGUCAAUGCUCUAAGGAAGACAAUAGAAACUAGUCAAAGGUCUCAGACUUCCCAGCCCCUAGAUCACUCUGUAAACUCAAUGGAUAUGACUGGCUUUCACAUUUUUUAUUUCACUAACUCUAAGACGUCUGAGUAGCCCUGUCCCUUAUGUGGCUUUCCUUGUACCUUAAAGGAUCUUUGUAGAGAGGCAGGUUCUCAUCCUUAUCUACCCAAUGGCCUCACUUUCAGCAGCAGAUGGCAAUGGCAUGUUUCUGGCCUGACACUAAGCCCCAUGUCCAUAUGGAGUCUUUCAUGAUCCAGUACAAAGGGACCUGGAACAGGUCUAUCAGACUAAUGUCAUCUUUUUUCUCUUGGGAGUAGCCAUGACCCAGAGAACCUUCAGAAAGCAGGGCCAGACAAAUAUGUGGAUGCUCCAGCAGGCUAAUAAUUUAGCAUCUUCCUCAUUGGUACUCUUAACUUACUUUUAGUAGGUACUCAGAUGGUAUUUAGUAUAUUUAGUAGAUAAGGAAAGGGAGCGACAAACUGAUUAUCAAUAAAAAUACAUUAUACUUCUUUCUGUUGAGAAUGAAGAAUUACAGGGCACCUGGAUGGCUCAGUUGGUUAAGCAUCCAACCCUUGGUUUUGGCUCAGGUCAUGAUCUCACAGUUUAUGGGUUCAAGCCCGGCAUCAGGCUCUGCUUGGGAUUCUCUCUCUCUCUCAAAAUAAAUAAACAUUUUUAAAAAAUGAAAAAUGUAUUACAUACUCUAACAGUAGCACUACCUUCUUAACUUACUUGGAAUGAGAUUCCUAAUAAGUAUUUCCAUAACUCUGAACUGGAUGGUGUUAGUCACAGCCUCUCCAAGAGUACAAGCAACAUACAAGGAUAUAAUUAUAAGGUCAUGAUCAAAAUAUACUUAAGGUUUGUUUUUUUUUUUUUUCUGGCUUUCAUCUCAGCAAAAUGUUUCCAACUUUUCAGAUACCAGAUUUGGUCACCAUCAGUUUUUCUUUUUCUUGCCUAAUUGUCUUAGCUAGAACCUCCAGUAAAAUAUUGAAUAGAUGUGUUAAAAAACAGACAUCCUGGUCUAAUUCCUGAUCUUAAGAGUAAAACAUUUGGUCUUUCAUUAUUAAAUAUGCUUUUAACUUGAGUUUUUCAUGGAUAGCCUAUAUCUGUUGAAGAAGUUCCCUUCUUGUCAAAUGCUUUUUAUCACAGGGAGGGGUUGGAUUUUGUCAAAUGCUUUUUUUUGUUUGCAUCUGUUGAGAUCAUCUUGUGUUUUUUGUCCUUUAUUCUAUUAAUGUGACUUAAUACAAUAUUUGAUUUUCAGAUGUUAAACCAACCUUGCAUUCCUGGGGUGAAUCUCAAUUGGUUAUAGUGUUUAAUUCUUUUUUUAUGUUGCUAGAUCCAGCUAGCUAGUAUUUUAUUGAGGAUAUUUGUAUCUUUUUCCAACUCUAUAGUUCUUAGUUUUGGUCUGCGAUUUUUACAGAAUCAGGCAACUUUAACAUUCAUGCAAUGAAGCUCGUCUCUUGCACCCACAUUAACUGAUUGCUCAGAUGACUGGUGCAUCAUUCCAGAAUGCUUUUCCUGGCUUACAGGUUCUCUGUACACCUGACAUGUGCUUACCACCAAAAUGUUCAGUACUCAAUAUAUAAAGAAGUUUUUAAAAUUUUUCACUGCUAUCUACUUAUCCUCUAGAGGAACUAGUUCACAUUUGACAGUAAUUUAAAGAGUAGCCGUGGAAAUGUGAGCUCAAUGGCACCGUAUUUCCAAUUUAUUUGGUGAUAAUGUUGUACAGUUUACCAGUUCAUGUCCUAGGACUGGCCGGGUCACACCAUAAUCUAGCUCUGAUGGUGGGGGCUGAGAAGAACCUCCAAAUUGGACUCUGGUGUUUGGGUUCAUCAUCCCUGAUAGUCACAGAAGAGAGCUCUCUGGGAUUCUUUCCAUUUUCUAUUGUACCAGCCACAGUUUUGGACAACAUAAUCACAUAACAAUAUUCAGAUCUUCCCCUUUUGUGACUUCCUUUGGGAGAAGGGAGACAGGAUGCCUAGCCGAACACAUUAGGUACCAAAGCCUUGCCAACUGGUGGCAAAGUCCCACGUGUGGAGCCUCCCAAACUUUGAGUGCAGGGUUCAUUAGGAUAGCUUGUUGAGCAGGUACUGAGACCUGGAUCUGCUUUUUAGUCUGAACGAACUAAAGUGGAAAAUGAUGUUUGUUACUUGAUUGGAGCUUUAGGAUUAGGCAACUCUCCUUGUGAUAACUCAGGCCUUUUAUAACUAUUUUCAGAGAAAGAGAGAGAAAGAAAACAAGAGGGAACAACUCUGACCAUGGUCUAAAGCCAGGCUUCUGUCACUAAGCAAUCAAGAAAAAAGCUCAAGUGGCCCUUGCAUAAGUGGGAAUUUGCGGUUUCUAAAGCUGCCCAUUCCCCAAACGACUAAAAGAUGUUAUUGGCAUUUGGCACUGUUUCCUAUGUUUUGCUCUCCUUAAAUUUCUCUUUAAAAGGGUUUGAGUUUAAAGGCAGAACCACUGAAAAAAUGCAAUUGAAUCCUAGAGCUGUGAAAGGCCAAGUCCAGAGUUAACCCCAGGAGGCCCCGUUUUGUUUUUGUUAAGGCGUAUUCCCAGGGGAUGCCAGGAAGUCUAAGGGUAGGCAGAAGAGAAGGAAGAGACUAGUCCAGAUCAGCUCUAGGAUGGCACCACCAUGCGCCAAGGGCUUCCCGCCCUCACCAGGCCAACUGACUCCACGAUGUACACUGGAAAGACUAGGGGAAAGGGACAGGAAAUUUAGGAAAGAGAACCCAGAGCCAAGGGCAAGAGAAAGAAGACUCGCUGGUGGCACAGCCUCCCAUACCACAGGCUGUCAUGGGACAGAACACAAGACUUCCAAGGGCUUCUUGGCCCCAACUCACUUUUUUAAAAGUUGUGUUUUCCCCUAGAUUAUUAAAGUCUACUCAUGGCACAGAAUUUGGGAAGCACAAACAGUUAGUAGGGAGAAAAUGAGAAAAUAACCGCCAGGCAGGAUGGCAGAGAGUUUCAGAUCCCAGCCCUUGGUAAGUCAGACUUUGAGUCCCAGCUCCACUGCUCAGCAUCCUCAUGUACAGCGAGGGGAGUAAGAUCUAACGGUGAUGUGAGGAUUCAGUGAGAUCACAUACCUGGCCACAGUUAGCUGCUGCUGCUGCUGCUCCUGUCAUUACCAUUAGCCCACCACCACAGUUAACAAUUGGAUACACAUCUGGCUAGGUCUUUCCUGUGCAUGUAUAGGUAUAAAACAUGGCUUAUUCUUUACAGUAGAUCAAUUUUUAUCUUGCUUUAAAUAACCUUCAGAAGCACUAGCUCUUUUGCUUUCGUGUGGAAGAUUCUAUUGCUAUAGUUGAAUGCCUUUUCCUUAUAAAUAAUACUAGGAUAUACUUCCUUGUAUAAAAUCUUCAGCUUCUGAUUAUUUAAGGUAAAUUCAGAAGAGGAAUUAUUACAGUCAGGGUUUGAACUUUUUAAAAGCUCUAGAUACAUUUUCCUAAAUCUAUACCUGCCAACACAUCAAGUUCUCUCUUCAGAUCUCUGGAGCAUCAGCCAGGGAUUUUAAACACAUACAUACACACGUGCAUACCAAUUACGUUUUUGGUAAUUUUAGAGGCAAAAAAAAAAAAAAAAAAAAAAAAAAUUCCUCAUCACUGUUUGAUUUUGCCUAUUUUUUUUUUUUUUAUUUGGGAAGCUAAAUGUGUUUUUGCAUGUUAAUUACUACAUUUAAAAAAUUUGAUCACAUCUUUUGUCCAUUUGAGGACAGACUAUUUUUUUUCCCCACUGAGUUUACAUGAGUUCCUUAUAUGUUACGGGUCAUGUUUUUCCUAGUUUUGUUGUUAGCCCUUGGAUUUUAUAUGUGAUCUUUUUGAUAAACAGAAGUUUUCAACUUUUAUGAGUUCAGAUCUGUCCACUUUUCCCUGUUGUGAUUUUUUUUUCCCCUGUGGCUUUCAAAGCCUUUCUCCAUGGUUGAAUCUGAUAAAUGAUAAGUUGCAUUUUGUCUUUUCAAAUAGUUCAUUUCAUACAUUCAGUAAGAAAUUUCUGGGAUUUUUCUUCAUUGUAUAAGUGAGGAUAGAGGGGAAAUUUCCCCCCAAAUGGUUAAGUAGUCAUUUCAGGCCCUUUUUUAGAUACUCCGUCCUUUCCAUGCUGACUUUUGAUUCCAUAUUCAUAUAAUCUAAUUACGUGUGUGUCCUGGGAUCUGUUUCUGAGCAAUCACUUCUAUUUCCUCAGCAGCAAUUCCAAUGGCCAGUACCAAUCAUGUGAAUUUUAUGAUAUUUUCAGGUCUGGUAACACAACUGUAUCUUCAUAUCCUUGUUUUACAAAAUUGUCUCACUUACGCCUGCUGUUUUAUCCCUCCAGAUCAACUUUGAAAUCACCUUGUCAACCCAAUUUCCUUUUUAAAUUAUUUUAAUAAUUGUACUGACUCCAAGUUGAAUUUUUGCACUUUUUGUACUUUUUCUUAACAGUGAGAAUUUUUAGCUCGGGACUUGAAAAGAAACACAUGUAGUUUAAACUUAUGUAAGAUUAAUAAGCUAAAAGAAUUAACUUAUUUUACAAUCUUAAAUACAACUAUGAUUGAAUGAUCACAGCCAAAUGCUGCCAAAACUUGUCAGGAGGCAGUUGCAGAGCCAGCCACUUCCUGUCAAGUUAGGAGCCUUUUACAGACUGCGCAUUAAGAUUCAUUUUUGAGGUACAGAAGGAGCUGAACAUGCACCAAAUGUUCAAAUGCUUCAGUGUUUUUUAUUCUACAUAAUCAACAAGAAUGUUAGCUAUUCCAAUGAUAAAAUGCUUUUUAAGAGCAGUUCAAAAAUUGCCCACUCUGGCCUUUCUGGCUGCCCACAGCAUUCAUCCUCUAUUGUCUCAUGUUUGGAGAGCCGACUAGCUCAUCCCUCAGGAAUUGUGCACGUCCCAGGAGCGCGUGAAUCACACGUCCCCUGGAGGCUCUGCUAAAGUGCAUGUGGUGUUUAACUGGCAGCAACCCCUCUGCCCUCUAGGUUCACGCCAUGAAACCAUAACCUCAUCUGGUCAAAGGCUUGCCAUUUUGUUGGGACAAAGUUGGCAUUUAAGUGUUUGGUUCCGGGGCCUGCAGUAGGAAUAUCCCAGAAAUAUCCUGUUUCAGCUUUUUGAAUACAAAGGUUGAAUGCACUUGGAAAGGCCCGAAAUGGAAAUGGAGCAGGACCCAUUCCUCCUUAACAAGUGAUCUGUUUAUACCCAUGGAAGGGCAGCAGAGCAAGAUGGGGUCAGGUAGUGGCUAGAGGCAAAAAUGCCUUAGAAACUAGGUGGCAUUUGGGCCAGGUAUGAAAGCGCGUGCCUGGAGAGGCAUGGUAAUGGAGUAGGAAUGACUAGGCAUGGAAACCGUACGGGCCCGAGUUGAAACUCCAGCUUUGGUGCCUGUUGGUCCUCUGACCAGGCGACCAGUCCCUGAAGCUUUCUAUGCCCAAACUUACUGACCUGUGAAAGGAGUGAAGAUGCUACUUAUCCUGGGCAGUUGCAGUAAGAAUUGGAAGUAAAUAUAGAAAACAUCCAGAACUUCUCCAUGAUGAUAGCAAUAGAUAGUAGUUAUCAAGCAAAACUUUUUGAGGGAAUGAUGAGGUAGGCAGGCAUCAUGAGAGCAGGAGACAGAGGCACAGUAGAUAAAAACUAGAAGCAAGUUUGCAAAGAGUGGAUGUACCUAGCUUGUGGGAAGACCUUGCAGGCCAUGCUAAGGAGUUGAGACCUUAUCUUAUAGGGGCUGAGGAGGCCUCAAGGGGUUUUCAUUAAAGAAAUACCAGCUCUAGGAACGUACUGGAGUGGUUAGCACCGGGCCCUGGGAGUCCAGCUCCCUACUCCACUCGUUUAAGCUGGGUGACCUUGAGCAAAGGACAGAAGCCUUAUGAGCCUCAGUUUUAUCACCUGCAAAUUGGCAAUGAUAACAGUAUUGACCUUUCAGGGUUCUCGUAUAUAAUAGUUAUUUAUUUAGUGCUCACAGUGUGCCUGCAAAUGUUCCAAGUACUUGACUUGUAUUAGCUUAAUGGAGAAAAUGAGUUAAAAAGCUUAGGGAAGUGACUGGCACAAAUUAAACAGUCACUGCUGUGGGGGUGGUACAACAGCUGAUGUCAUUUUCAUCACUUGGUCAGAUAUUUUAAUAAGAUCCUGCUGGUGAUGCCAUAGAGACUGGGUUGGCGUGGUUGGGGCUGGAGGCCGAGAGAGCAAACAGGACAAUAGUUUUGCACACGUUUAAAAUUUCCUGGAGUUGUACCUAAGAUCUGUGCACUAUACCUUAUGUAUGGGAUACCUCAAUUUAAUAUAUGAGGUAGCCAAUGAACCCUCUUCUCCCAGCUGACAAGAAGCUACUCACCAACUUCCUGGAGUUUCAAUGAGCUGAGUGCUCUUCACUUAAAAAAAUAAAAUAAAAUAAAUAAAAAUUAAAGGAGAAAGACUGAGGGAACAAAGUAAAAUCCUUUUUUGAUUAACCGUGUGCCUGAAGCACAGAGGGCCCGAGGAAAACCGAAACCUCUACGAUUUGUACGAAACUCUGACCUGCUUGGUAGUUUUCCUUCACUAGAGCUACGAGCAGUAGCACACGACUGUAGAAGAGUCCUCUCUUCUGGCCCAGUGACAUAGAGAUGCCGGAAGGGAGAAAGGCAGGCCAUUGGGUGGUGUGGAGAAGGAGGCAGAUCACGGUUGAUCUGCCCUCAGCCCUCUGGAAAACUGGCCCCUUGCCGGGCUUUCUUUCUUCGCACACUUUUCCAUUUAGAUUUUGCCGAAACUCUGAACAUGUCACAUGUGAGCAUGCUAUUCAAAAUGCUUUUCUCUUUGAACCUGAUCUUGUCUUUGAAUGUCCUCCUGUUGUAAAUUCACGGUUUUCAUUUUUUGCUUAAGGCCAAGUCUAAGGCAGGUCAGUCAGCGCAUUGACUUCUCUCUCCUUGGAUUCACACCAAACUACGUGACAAAAAUGUUCAAGUUGGGGAACAGACUUCCCCUGCACAGUACGCUGGGUGGUAUGAAAUUAUUAUAACCUUUGAAUAUCUGGGGAAUGGAUAAAAGGAUCUGAUACCACUACUGUUUCUCCUCCUAGUGACUACAAAAAACACAAUUUUAAACUAUAGGAAUUUGUUCACCAACCAGGUGAUCAAGAUCAAAUAAUGUCAGGGGAGGGAGCUGUGAGGGCAGGUCAUUUCUGAGAGGGCAGGAAAGAAAAAGUAGAACCGCCAAAGGGCAUUUAAAACAUUUAAGUGAGAUUCAUAGAAAAUGCAAUAUGCAUCAUGAUUGCUUACUUACUGACUCCCAGUUAGGUAUUUAAAGAGAUAAGAUUAAAUGUCUAGAAUUCAGUGAUAAUUAUGUAAACAAAAACCUGACCUUAAAUUGCCUGGUAUUAGAUAGGGCUAUUGACACUCCACAUAUCUUAUAAGUCAUUCUAAUUGAAUGGGGCAGUGUUACCUUCCAAAACCUAAAAACACCCAUAAGUCAGAGAACAUUCUGAUUAGACACACAGGUCUCCUUAGAUACAAGCAUCAAGUCUAAUGCAGUCAUGACAGGUUCACUGAUAGGCAAUUUUCAAGACCUUUUGUGAAAAUAAACAUUAUCAGAGACGAGUAAAAA